CUAGAUUUCUAUGCUAUUUCCAGUGAGAGGCUGGUUCACUAUAUUCUCUUACACAAAGUCCUGCUGUGAUGAGAAAGCUAAUGUAUGCUGCAUGAUGGCUGGAACAAUGCCCAGAUUUCCCUCUCAGACAAAGAUAAGAGACAUGAAUGCCAGUGAAAUAACUUUUUCCCUCUGAUUAGACUCUCGGAAAUGCCUAAUUUGCCAAUGCCAAUCUCUUAGAACUGGAAGGGACUUUGAAAGGUCAUCGAGUCCAGCCCCCUGCCUUCACUAGCAGGACCAAUUUUUGCCCCAGAUCCCUAAGUGGCCCCCUCAAGGAUUGAACUCACAACCCUGGGUUUAGCAGGCCAGUGCUCAAACCACUGAGUUAUCCCUCCCGCCAUUUGUAUGUGCAUCUGGAGAGCAUUUUGAUAUUGGCUCAGUGGGUCCUAAUGAGAGAGAUUUCCAAGAUCCCUGCAGCAUAUGCGUGGCCACUGAGUACCAUCACCCCCAGAACUGCUGCGAUAUUUUCAACUGUGGGGUGGUGGAAGCAGGCAUCCGUGCAUGCCAGUAUGCAGUUCAGUGUGUGUUCCAAGGGGCAGGUGUGCAGGCUACUGUGCCUCACAUAAAACUGGAUGCCAAGUCUCUCUUCUCCGCCUUGCCCCAAUCACUCUCACAGAUGCCCACUUCUGCCUCCCCGCUGUUGGAAAAAUUGUGGUAUUAGCUAAUUUUGCUAUUUCCAAGCAGUCUGUGAAAUCACGAUUUUUCACCAGGUCCUGUUUACGAGUCUCUUAUGCUUAAACCAAAUGGAUCUAAAUGGUUCAAAAUAUGAAAGUCGUGUAAUGUUUUCCCAGAGUAUUACAUCAGCUUUCUCCUCAACCCAUGCACAUCUA